rnacentral:rRNA from 1 species
CCUACGGGAGGCAGCAGUGAGGAAUAUUGGUCAAUGGGCGCGAGCCUGAACCAGCCAAGCAGCGUGAAGGAUGACUGCCCUACGGGUUGUAAAUUUCUUUUAUAAAGGAAUAAAGUGAGGCACGUGUGCCUUUUUGUAUGUACUUUAUGAACAAGGAUCGGCUAACUCCGUGCCAGCAGCCGCGGUAAUACGGAGGAUCUGAGCGUUAUCCGGAUUUAUUGGGUUUAAAGGGAGCGUAGAUGGGUUGUUAAGUCAGUUGUGAAAGUUUGCGGCUCAACCGUAAAAUUGCAAUUGAUACUGGCAGUCUUGAGUACAGUUGAGGUAGGCGGAAUUCGUGGUGUAGCGGUGAAAUGCUUAGAUAUCACGAAGAACUCCGAUUGCGAAGGCAGCUUACUAAACUGCCACUGACAUUGAUGCUCGAAAGUGUGGGUAUCAAACAGGAUUAGAUACCCGGGUAGUC